rnacentral:tRNA from 2 species
GGUGAGGUGGCCGAGUGGCUGAAGGCGCUCCCCUGCUAAGGGAGUAUAGGGUUUGUAGCUCUAUCGAGGGUUCGAAUCCCUCCCUCACCGCCA